CAGUAGCCGCGGUAAUACGUAGGUGGCAAGCGUUGUCCGGAAUUAUUGGGCGUAAAGGGCUCGCAGGCGGUUUCUUAAGUCUGAUGUGAAAGCCCCCGGCUCAACCGGGGAGGGUCAUUGAAAACUGGGAAACUUGAGUGCAGAAGGGGAGAGUGGAAUUCCAUGUGUAGCGGUGAAAUGCGUAGAUAUAUGGAGGAACACCGGUGGCGAAAGCGGCUCUCUGGUCUGUAACUGACGCUGAGGCUCGAAAGCGUGGGGAGCGAACAGGAUUAGAUACCCGAGUAGUCCCUGUCUCUUAUAA
rnacentral:rRNA from 1 species